rnacentral:rRNA from 1 species
GACGAACGCUGGCGGCGUGCUUAACACAUGCAAGUCGAACGGAAAGGCCCCUUUGGGGGUCCUCGAGUGGCGAACGGGUGAGUAACACGUGAGUAACCUGCCCUUGACUUCGGGAUAACUUCAGGAAACUGGGGCUAAUACCGGAUAGGAAUCCUUGCUGCAUGGUGGGGGUUGGAAAGCUUCGGCGGUUUUGGAUGGACUCGCGGCUUAUCAGCUUGUUGGUGGGGUAGUGGCUUACCAAGGCUUUGACGGGUAGCCGGCCUGAGAGGGCGACCGGCCACAUUGGGACUGAGAUACGGCCCAGACUCCUACGGGAGGCAGCAGUGGGGAAUAUUGCACAAUGGGCGGAAGCCUGAUGCAGCAACGCCGCGUGCGGGAUGACGGCCUUCGGGUUGUAAACCGCUUUCAGCAGGGGCGAAGCUUGUGGUGACGGUACCUGCAGAAGAAGCACCGGCUAACUACGU